rnacentral:rRNA from 1 species
AGAGGGGGCAAGCGUUAUUCGGAAUUAUUGGGCGUAAAGGGCGCGUAGGCGGCCAUUCAAGUGACGGGUGAAAGCCCUCGGCUUAACCGAGGAACUGCCUGUCAGACUGGAUGGCUUGAGACCGGGAGAGGUGAGUGGAAUUCCCAGUGUAGCGGUGAAAUGCGUAGAUAUUGGGAGGAACACCAGUGGCGAAGGCGGCUCACUGGACCGGAACUGACGCUGAGGCGCGAAAGCGUGGGGAGCAAACAGGAUUAGAUACCCUGGUAGUCCACGCCGUAAACGAUGAGUGCUUGGUGUAGCGGGUAUCGACCCCUGCUGUGCCGAAGUCAACACAUUAAGCACUCCGCCUGGGGAGUACGGUCGCAAGACUG